rnacentral:rRNA from 1 species
GACGAACGCUGGCGGCGUGCUUAACACAUGCAAGUCGAACGGAAAGGCCCUGCUUUUGUGGGGUGCUCGAGUGGAACGGGUGAGUAACACGUGAGUAACCUGCCCUUGACUUUGGGAUAACUUCAGGAAACUGGGGCUAAUACCGGAUAGGAGCUCCUGCUGCAUGGUGGGGGUUGGAAAGUUUCGGCGGUUGGGGAUGGACUCGCGGCUUAUCAGCUUGUUGGUGGGGUAGUGGCUUACCAAGGCUUUGACGGGUAGCCGGCCUGAGAGGGUGACCGGCCACAUUGGGACUGAGAUACGGCCCAGACUCCUACGGGAGGCAGCAGUGGGGAAUAUUGCACAAUGGGCGGAAGCCUGAUGCAGCAACGCCGCGUGCGGGAUGACGGCCUUCGGGUUGUAAACCGCUUUCGCCUGUGACGAAGCGUGAGUGACGGUAAUGGGUAAAGAAGCACCGGCUAACUACGUG